UAGGGAAUCUUCGGCAAUGGGGGCAACCCUGACCGAGCAACGCCGCGUGAGUGAAGAAGGUUUUCGGAUUGUAAAGCUCUGUUGUAAGAGAAGAACGUGUGUGAGAGUGGAAAGUUCACACAGUGACGGUAACUUACCAGAAAGGGACGGCUAACUACGUGCCAU
rnacentral:rRNA from 1 species